CCUACGGGAGGCAGCAGUGAGGAAUAUUGGUCAAUGGGCGCGAGCCUGAACCAGCCAAGUAGCGUGAAGGAUGACUGCCCUACGGGUUGUAAACUUCUUUUAUAAAGGAAUAAAGUGAGGCACGUGUGCCUUUUUGUAUGUACUUUAUGAAUAAGGAUCGGCUAACUCCGUGCCAGCAGCCGCGGUAAUACGGAGGAUCCGAGCGUUAUCCGGAUUUAUUGGGUUUAAAGGGAGCGUAGGUGGGCUGUUAAGUCAGUUGUGAAAGUUUGCGGCUCAACCGGGGAAUUGCAAUUGAUACUGGCAGCCUUGAGUACAGUUGAGGUAGGCGGAAUUCGUGGUGUAGCGGUGAAAUGCUUAGAUAUCACGAAGAACUCCGAUUGCGAAGGCAGCUUACUAAACUGCGACUGACAUUGAGGCUCGAAAGUGUGGGUAUCAAACAGGAUUAGAUACCCUAGUAGUC
rnacentral:rRNA from 1 species